GGUGCAGCACCCGCAGCCUCCCUGGCGUGCAGGUGGAACAGGAGUGCUCCAAGCCUCCGAACGCUGUCCUUACAGACAAGAAGCAGCCAGCAGCCCCCCUGCCUCCAGCAGUUAAAUACUGGCUGUAAGCACGUGGAAUUGCACGUUCACUCUGGUAUCUUGUGGACCCAGGCAGAAACCAAAGCACGUCACUGCUUUAGAGGCCUGGCAAGUUCCUGGGACACAGAGAGCUUUGGUAGGAACCUGCAUUACAAUCAUGGAAAAUUUAGGUCAAAAAGAAUUGAAGGUCAUCCAGCCUGCUCAAGGCAGGGCUGACUUCCAGAUCAGACCAAGGAAUGUCAGUUUCCCUCUCCGAAGAGCCCUGCCCAAGUAACACUGCAACAGCAGCGUCGCUUCUUGGUUUCAUCACCCCUUGUCUGUCCUCACUACAAAAGUGGCUCUAGAAAUCAUGGUCUAAGAAUCGGGAGUAAAAGGACACAUUUUUCAAGUGUUAGCACACAAAAAUGUGUUAAACAAGUGGAGCAUCUGGUAAAACAUUUUGUAGGAGUAAACGGAGGAAGGUAGCAGAUUUUUUAGUUGACUAAAGAACAAAGAGCAGUUCGGAAUAAUUAAGAAGCACUAAUUAACUGAAAUUUUUAAUGUAAGUGUAGUCUUUUUUUGGAAAGUUACUAAAUGCUCACAAUGGAGAGGCUGUCUCUGACAUAACUUGGUGAUUAUUUUCAUAUGGCUAAUAGCACCACACUCUUUACCUACGUGAUUCUGGAGAAGGGUUCAGUCUUGGAUGCUUUUAGUUCUUGGUGCAACAGCCUGCCACUUUGCUGGGCCCAUCUGUAGGUGUUAGAGAUUUGCUUGGUUGUCCCUUCUAUCUGUUCCUGCAUUUGUACUCUUCGGUACUAGCAGCAGUUUAUUCAGCUGAAGAACUGAUUUUUUUUUCCCAGUGAUCUGCAAAGUUUAGCUAGUUCCAGGAAUCGGUGCCAAACAUGUUUGUUCAAACAGGCUUGUCAUCGUAUUUUUGUCAAGACAAGGCUUUGUGCUAACUGAGGAUGACUUCUGGGGGGAGUUAACCAUUAGGCUGAAAUAAUUUGCCAUUUCCAGAGAAAGAAUACAAAAAGUAGGUGGGAAGCUAGUGACUAAACUAAUAAUCUUUCUCUCUCUCUCUAGGCUUGGCAUUUUCCUACUUAAAAAAAAAUGAAGAAUCCCAAAUCCUCUGGAAAAUUCUGUUGAACUAUGAUUGUUCUUUAAAGAUAUUAAGGAGCUUUUUAGGAACAGAAUGGUCAAGCUCUGUAACACAGGGGACUGUUUGAGUGAAGAACCAAAGGCAGUUAAUAAAGUGGCCAGAGAUCAAGAGCUGCAGGUGGGAGACACAGCCACCUGCAAGUGAUGUGUUACCUCCUCCUUGCUCCUGUGAUGGGAUUAAGGCCGGGAAACACUUCAGUGCAGAGAAAACAGGUUUGUGUGUGACAGGGAAGGGCUGCAUGCGGCGUCAUGUCACCAUCAACACCGUGUCUAUAAAAGCCACAGAGGUGCUCUCGCUCCAAAGGAAGGCCACAGCCCCAGACGGGUAUAGCAGGAGACUCCCCCAUGCCACCAACGGGUUACUCCACUGCUGUUUUUUCUUGGCUGUUUGGUUUUUUGGUUUUGGUUGGCUUUUGUUGUUUGGUUUUGACAGCAGCUCCAGGUGGAAGGAGGGUUAUAAAUACACUGUCAACAAGGGAAAGCGAAUUGCAGUUGUCUGUUAGCUGGGACAGCAUUUUUGGGGGCUGGUGAACGAGCCCCUGAUCCUACAGAUCUUUGUAAGCCUUCACUAGAGGACAGUUUGUAGAGGAGACACGGUUACAGGAAAUAUGUCUGGCCUGAAAUCUGUCACCGUUUGCAUUUAGCUCCUGGUUUGCAUUUCCAAGCAUUGCUUCCCUUGCCUGGGGAAUAGGCGAAAUGAAAGCUGAAAGAAAAACCAACAGCGACCAAAACCCAAACAAAACCAAACCAAAACCACCUUUACAAGACCCAUUUAUUUGAGAAAAGAGGGAGGAAGGCUCAGCAUCCCUCCCGGUGCUCCCUUACUCACCGCUCGUGCCCUCCAUCGCUGUGUGCGCGCAGAGGAGCCCCGGCACCGACCUCCGGCUGUCUCCGAGCGGGAUUUGAGGCUCUGGAGCAGCCGGGCUGCCUGCUCGGGCCGGGCGGCUGCAGCAUACCGCAGGGGAGGGAUGCGUGUGGCAGUGCUCGGUCCUUCAACCCGCAGCCCGGGGCGCCCGACGGAGCAUCGCCGUCGGGGUGACGGUGCCGUGCCGGGAGCGCGCGGGGAGCUGGCUGCGGGCUGCAAGGGGCAGGGAGCGCGCAUUUGGUCCUUGUGCUCCUUACUGUGGCUCGGGGGAGGAGGACGCCCCGAGGAGUCGCGUGGAAAAGGCGGCGGAAAAAAUCUUUCCCCGUCCAAAUAGGCAGCGGUCGGCGAGGGGAAAGCCCCCCGGCCGGGGGAAGGGACUGGGGGCGCUGAGCGGGCUCCUCUUCUCCUUCGGGGCGCGGCUUUCACUGCCCCGAGCCCCGGCCGACGCGCAGACAGCUGCCGGGAUGCCCCGAGUGCAGGAGCAAGCAAAAGGAGGCUCCAAACGCUCCGCGUUUAUAGAAAAUAAAGAUCAGGAGAGCCCCUGAACAGGGCAGAGGUAUUGAUAGGUUCUGAAACUAAUGACGUACAUGCGUAAAAAAAAUGUUGAGAAGUGGAUAACUGUCGAAAUAAUUUAUAUUUCUAACAGUUAUAUAGACUCUUAGCUUGGUGCGAGCAAACUAAACACUUAUUUUUUUUUUUCCUUUUAAGGAAAAAAGGUGAUUCCCUUCUAGCAGAUGGAAAACAAGGUGCACACAACUUGGGGCCUGCAGAAACGUCCCUUUCCUCCCGAAACCCCGCCGAGCUCCGAGGUGAUGCUGCUCGGGGCAG